ACAGUGGUGGUUCAGUGGUAGAGUUCUCACCUUCCAUGAAGGAAACCCAGGUUUGAUUCCUGGCCAGUGUA
rnacentral:tRNA from 1 species